rnacentral:rRNA from 1 species
AAAUUUUUUAUUUAUAAAAUUAUUUUAAAAAUAAAUAAAUAUAAUUUAUAUUAUAAAUUUGCUUAUUAAAAUAUAUAUUUCGUUAGAAAAUUAAAUUUUUGAAAAAUUAAAAAUUUAAUUUUUAAAAGUAUUUAAUUUAUUAUUAAGUAAAUUAUAUAAGUUAAUUAUGAAUAAAUAAAGUAAUAAAUAAAAAGUUGUGAUUUAGUAAUUAUUUAAAAAAAUUUAAUGUAUAUAUAUAUAGAUAGUAUUGAAAAAGAUCUUUAAUUAAAUAAAAUAAAGUAAAAAAUAAUAUUUUUUACCUUUUGUAUCAGGGUUUAUUAAAAUUAAUAAGAUGAUAUUCUUAUUUCUCGAAAUAAAUUGAACUAAUUAAUUAUGAAUUUUAAUGUUGCAUUAUUAUUGAUAAUAGUUAAUUAGAAGUGAAAUGCUUUUCGAAAUUUAUAUAUCUAGUUAUUUUAUAAAUAAAUUCAAUUUAGAUUAAUAUAUAAAAAUUUACUAAUUUAAUAAGUAAAUUUUUUAUAUUAAUUAAAAAUUUAAGGGAUAAGCUUUAAAUUUAUUUUAAUAUAUGUAAAUUAAUUUAUAAUUAUAUUUAUAAUUUAUAUAAUAUUUAAUUAUUUAUAAAUUAAAAUUUAUUAACUUUCGUUAAUAUAAAUUAAGUUUUAGAUUUAUUUAUAUAUUUAGUUAUUUAUAAAAUUAAAAAUUUUAAUUAUUAAAAUUUUGUAAUAAUGAUAAAAUUAGUAGAUUUUAAAAUUAAUUAUAAUUAAUUUUAAUUAUUCUAUAUUUUAGAAUAAUUUAUUUGAUAGAUUAAAUUAAGGAAUUCGGCAACAAUUAUUAAUAUAAAAUUUAUAAAUGUUCGUCUGUUUAAUAAAAACAUAGUUUAUUGAUUAUAAUAUUAGAUAUUUCCUGCCCAAUGAUUUAAUUUAUAAAUUUAAUGGCUGCAGUAUUUUGACUGUACAAAGGUAGCAUAAUCAUUUGGCUUUUAAUUAGAGUCUUGUAUGAAGGGAUAAACGAAACAUAAUCUGUCUCAAUUUAAUUAGUAUUCGAAUUUUAUUUUAAGUAAAAAUUCUUAAAUGUUAUUAAAAGACGAGAAGACCCUAUAGAAUUUAAUAAAUUUUGAUUUUUUUUAUUUUUAAAAUUAAAUAUUAGAGAUAUAAAUUUAUUUGAUUGGGGAUAAUUAGAAAAUUUAAUAAAUUUUUCUUUUAAAUAUUUUAGUAAUAAUUUAUUAAUUUUAAUGAAUAAUUAUUAAUACAAUAUAUUAUAUUAAUGAAUAUUAUUUUAUUUAAAUAAUUUAAAUAAAAAAUUUAUACAUUAAUUUAUGAAUUAUAAAUAUUUAUUUGUAACCAUUAUAAAUGAAUAAAAAUUUAAUUACCUUAGGGAUAACAGCGUAAUUAUUUUGGAGAUUAAUUUUGAUAAAAUAGUUUGCGACCUCGAUGUUGAAUUAAGUUAAAUAGUUAAUUGAGCAAUUAACUAAAUUAAGUCUGUUCGACUUUUAAAAACUUACAUGAUUUGAGUUUAGAACGGUGUAAGCCAGUUCGGAUUCUAUCUUUAAUUAUUUAUAAUAGUAUUGUACGAAAGGACUUAUUAUUAUUACAAUAUUGUAAAUAUUUAUGAAUAGAAAAUAAUUAUUGUUUAAAAUUUA